CAGAAUCUGUGGUCCUCCAGCUGUUAUUAAGCUAUAGCUUCAAUCAGCCCCAGCCAGCAUAGCCAAUGGGGGUGAAGGAGACUGAGACCAACCAGCAUCUGAAGAACUGCAAGCUCCCCAUCCCCGGCCUAAAUGAAACAAUAGUUGUAUCCAUGUGGUCUAAAAACUGGCUUCAUAUAGGAUCAGUACACUCAUUAUUUAAUUAGAUGUUAUGAAGUCCAUGGUAUUUAGUGGUGCCAAAUGAAAGAAACACAGAGAUAAGCCUAAGCAAACUGCCCAGGCAAACAAAUAGCUUUUCUGAAAAUGCUGCUGAACUACUUAAAUAAAGAAGCCAUGAAAGUAACCAGGCACGCUGGAGGACACAAGUGGAUGACACUUGCAUAUGUAACCACUAUCACAUGUGCCCUGAUCAUCUUGCAAGAGAACCUGAUGAAGGCCUAAUAUACUAGAGUCCAAAAUGCAUUGGGCUUUCCUAAGGAAUAAAUUUCCUGUCAGCAUUUUGGGAUUUUUUGGCUCUUUCUUUGUGGUUCUUUGGAUGCUGACCAUUUUUCGCUUUCAGUCACAUGUUGUCGGACAUGUGCUCUCAUCAGCAAUCUGGCCACCACAUUUUGCACCAGCUGAAGCUUCUGUACCAAGGUCAAGGGCAGAACACAUUGCAGUAAUUCAGCCUCGAGGUUACCAACACAUGGACUACAGAGGUCAAGCUAUCCCUGUCCUGGAACAACUGUAGUUGAUGAACCAGACAAAGUUGGUAAAAAGUACUCCUAGCCACAGAGGAUACUUGGGCCUCUAAUGACAAAGAUAAAUCCAGGAGUACCCCUAGGCUACAGACCUGGCCAAAACAAGUAACCUGCCUAUCUCCCGGAUAUGGCAACCACCUACCCAAAGAGUCUCUGUCUUCCCAGGAUUCAAGCACAGUUUAUUGGCCCUCAUCCAGUCCACUACAGCAUUCAGGUUCAGAGCUUUCACAGCCUAUCCUGAUUCAGAUGUUAUGGAGAAACAGAGCCACUAAAUAGUACUGUUGAAUCCCCAAAGUAUGGCAUACCAUUCUGGUAGUGUUACAGUUUCAGAGUACUAUAUGCUUGUGACACAGCCAUAUGUGAGGAGAAUGGAGAAGGCAUUCUAGGCCAGUCAGUGGUUGAGAAACUAACACCACAUUUACAGGAUUCUGGACAGAAUCUUAACAACAGAUAACUUCACCCAUGGGCCACUAGCUAGGGUAACUGACUCUGGUUGGCACACUAAAAAACCAACCAACCAAAAAUGUUCCAAGAAUUCCUUAUCCAUGAAUUCAGAAGUAAGCCAAAAGCAGCAUUUUUUAUUUUCAAGAAGAUUUGACACUCGUAAAUUAUGUACUAAGACAAUUGCAAUUUAUGCACCAAAGAAAGGAAGGACAGUGAAUCUUCUUUCUUCAGUGCAUAAAGAUGCAGACAUCUCAGACCAGAAUUCCAAUCCUGAGACAAACUAAAGGCAGGAGUGUCUCAAUUUGCACAAGAUAAAAUGGUGGGAGGUGAAAUAUAUUCUAGCAAAAUUCUAGGUGUGCUGUAUGUUCGUAAUUGACUGUGCCCACCUUGCCUUAAAUGAAGUGGUUUAAACAUAGCAGGAUGAAAAUGCAUCCUCUUUUUUUCCAGCAGCUAAAGUCAUUGCUGAAGUAGCAACAUAUUGUAAUCAGUCUGAUUUUACAUCAAACUGCAGUUUCAGAUUCAACUAUUAUUGCAGUCAAAAUAGAACAUAACCAACAAUUUGAAAUACAAAAGGCUGUCUUCACCAUCAUAUGACAGCGACCAAUAAAAAGGCUUUGAAAGUAAUAAAAACAAAUUUGACACAGAUUUCUAGGAUGAAUAAUGAGGGAAAUUAACUUUUCUAAUUUAGAUUCUCUGUAGAAACAUUAGUAACACAGGACGUAAGAAGAACACCCACAAACAUACAAAAAUAUAAUUCUCUAUCUUUGGAAAUGGCAGGUAUUGCCACCACUCACCAUAUGCUCAGAGGCACAUGUUACCAAAUUCUUCCAAGCUACACAGCAAGUGGAUUGGACUGUGAAAGACCAACCCAAAUUGUGUUGGCAUUUUGACCAAUUUGUAGGGCAGUCCAAUAUCUCAGAGAGGAGGUCAGGUCUCCUGCUCCCCUGGUGCAUUAACCAGAACUGCCCAAUUUCCCUGCUUUUUAAAGUUUGAUAGAAAUAUCUGUGAGCUAUAGGUACAUUCUUAAACCGCAAGGUUUUUUGCCUGUUAGUGAAUCAGCUAUUUAUUCCACAAAUCAUGACACUAUGCCUCUGCUGCAAAAUGUCAUGCCAGUGAACCUGUUUAAGUCUAUAAUAUUGGUUCCGAUAGUAAAAUGUUUAAAUGCUAUGCAGUACGAGUCUGAGUCUGAGGAGUGUAUAUGACCUUCUGAAGUACAAAAAGUGCUAUUUUAUAGGGAAAAAUAGAUUUACAUUUGUCAUAGGAGCAUAGGAAGCUGUCUUACAUUGAACCAGACCCAUUGUUCCAUCUAGCUCAGUACCGUCUACACUGACUGGUAGUGGCUGUCCAGGGUUUCAGGCAGGGGUCUCUCCCAGCUUACCUGGAGAUGCCAUGGUUGAACUUGGGACCUUCUACAUGCAAGCAGAUGCACUAUCACUGAACUGUGGCCCUUUCCUUAAUUGUAAAAGCUAGUUACAUAAAAUACAAGCCUGGUCACUAGAACUGAAGGAGUACAAUUCUGUAAAGGGCCACAUGUACAGAAUAUUAUUUUUUGUCCAAGUCAAAACAGCUGGAAAAUUGGUUUUCAAACCUGAAUAUUGGGAAAUCAAGAUCUGUGAUUAUGCAUGUGUGUGUUGGCAUUUGUGUGAGAGAAGAUGAAAAUCUUCUAUAUAUCAUCUGAUUCACAUGAAUA